rnacentral:lncRNA from 1 species
CUUAGAGCCUAAAACUGUUUUCUGUGUAGCUUUUGUUCUUUAUUGGGAGACAUUUAUCCUGGGAGAAGUUUUCUUUUCUCCUAAAAUCUCCCAUCCGCAAUCUGUUUUCUGGUGCAUUUACAUUACUUCAUGCCCUUCCAACAUAAAUUACUGUUCCAAUAAAUAAUUAAAUAAAUAAAUAACCCAUCUUUGAAUUUCUCUAACUCAGAUUUGCUAUAUCUCCAAAAUGAGGAAAACUUUUUUUUUUUUUAAAUAAAUAUUUUACUUUAAUCUAUGAUAGCUGAACAGACGUUUGCUAAAUGAAGCCAACAGACAUGAGAGGAUUCGUUAAGUAUUUGAGUUUUCUGACACUGCAGAUUGGAAGGGAGCAGCUAGGGACUUUGCCAAAGACAGGACUUUCAAUUUUUUUUCACCUCAUAGGAGUGAUGUAUGGAAUUGAGGCACUAUACCAACAGUAUAUGCAACAACUGAUGUAUUGCAGUACUAAAGCUGUGCCCUUUCCCACCAUGCAUGGCACCCUCCGAAGUGAAGAACACAGGUCAUCGCUUAAAAAUGUCUUAACUAUUUCAUAUGGAUCCCUGCUGGAAAUAAUGCACUAUGACUGUCCCGAAUCUGAGUUUCAACAUACAGAUGGCUUUGAACUGAAUACUAGAAAGUAUCACAGAAGGAACAAAACUCAUCAUUAGGGAAGAGAUAUUGAAGCCAAAUUGCUCUGCAUGGGAGAGAAAAGAAUUUUCCCUCAUUCUAAAGACUGUAAAGAAAACCAGUACUUUCAUUGACUGCAUCCCUUGCACUCCUCACAUUUCAUGCCUCCUCUCAGUCUUACCCAGCUGCUAUAGUUCCCCAUGAUCUCUGCUCUAUGGGAAGGAUGUGAUGGAGUGGGAAGUGUGGUUGAGUGGGGCUGACAAGGAACCUGGUAGAUGAGAGAGUGGGAAACUCAAGAGAACAUGGCUUGGAGAAGGAAAUACUAAGGAAUGUUGGACCAAGAGAAAAUCCCCUCCUGGGAAAAGCCUUUAUGAUAAGUAUUAA